rnacentral:lncRNA from 1 species
ACCGAUGUUGUUUCUUGGAAUAUGAGGGUGAGGCCGUACAUGUAUCAUUUUAUGUAAAGAAAUUUGUCUUCUAGAAAAGUUUUCUAAAUGUAAUUGAAUCAGAAUCAAUGUCUCUGUAGGCAUGCAUUUCAUGCAUCUGUAUCGUAUGCAUUAAAAUCCAUUGAAAGAGUCUAAACGAGUAAAUUUGUUUCAGCUAAUCUGGAAAACCAAUCAACCAAACAUCCUUACGGUACUCGUCGCAAAGCCAAAGAAAUGGAUCAAAGAUUAGAGAAAUAGGAGCAAA